rnacentral:tRNA from 1 species
UGGGGCGUAGCCAAGCGGUAAGGCAUCGGUUUUUGGUACCGUGAUCCCUGGUUCGAAUCCAGGCGCCCCAGCCA